rnacentral:lncRNA from 1 species
GCCUUCUGGGACGGCACAGUUUGGAGGGGCAGCCAGGCAAGUCAACAGACGAUUUCAAUUUAGUAUGAUUGGAAGAUGCGAUCCAGCCGGGUGCUGAGUGGAGCUGCCCUGAACCUAGUCGGAGGAUGGACGACUAAACAGCCACUGAGAGAUCAGGCUUUGACUGAGCACCUGCCAGGCUCCUGUCUCUGCUCCAGGAAGACACUCCGUGGCGCUGAGGAGCUGUUUCUCCACCCGUCCUGGCACCCAUGGUGGAAUCUGUGGGAUCUAUUUCACCCGUGUGAUCUUCCAGAUCAUGCGUGCUCGGC